AGAGUUUGAUCCUGGCUCAGGAUGAACGCUAGCUACAGGCUUAACACAUGCAAGUCGAGGGGCAUCAGGAAGAAAGCUUGCUUUCUUUGCUGGCGACCGGCGCACGGGUGAGUAACACGUAUCCAACCUGCCCUUUACUCGGGGAUAGCCUUUCGAAAGAAAGAUUAAUACCCGAUAGCAUAAUGAUUCCGCAUGGUUUCAUUAUUAAAGGAUUCCGGUAAAGGAUGGGGAUGCGUUCCAUUAGGUUGUUGGUGAGGUAACGGCUCACCAAGCCUUCGAUGGAUAGGGGUUCUGAGAGGAAGGUCCCCCACAUUGGAACUGAGACACGGUCCAAACUCCUACGGGAGGCAGCAGUGAGGAAUAUUGGUCAAUGGGCGCUAGCCUGAACCAGCCAAGUAGCGUGAAGGAUGAAGGCUCUAUGGGUCGUAAACUUCUUUUAUAUAAGAAUAAAGUGCAGUAUGUAUACUGUUUUGUAUGUAUUAUAUGAAUAAGGAUCGGCUAACUCCGUGCCAGCAGCCGCGGUAAUACGGAGGAUCCGAGCGUUAUCCGGAUUUAUUGGGUUUAAAGGGAGCGUAGGUGGACUGGUAAGUCAGUUGUGAAAGUUUGCGGCUCAACCGUAAAAUUGCAGUUGAUACUGUCAGUCUUGAGUACAGUAGAGGUGGGCGGAAUUCGUGGUGUAGCGGUGAAAUGCUUAGAUAUCACGAAGAACUCCGAUUGCGAAGGCAGCUCACUGGACUGCAACUGACACUGAUGCUCGAAAGUGUGGGUAUCAAACAGGAUUAGAUACCCUGGUAGUCCACACAGUAAACGAUGAAUACUCGCUGUUUGCGAUAUACAGUAAGCGGCCAAGCGAAAGCAUUAAGUAUUCCACCUGGGGAGUACGCCGGCAACGGUGAAACUCAAAGGAAUUGACGGGGGCCCGCACAAGCGGAGGAACAUGUGGUUUAAUUCGAUGAUACGCGAGGAACCUUACCCGGGCUUAAAUUGCAGUGGAAUGAUGUGGAAACAUGUCAGUGAGCAAUCACCGCUGUGAAGGUGCUGCAUGGUUGUCGUCAGCUCGUGCCGUGAGGUGUCGGCUUAAGUGCCAUAACGAGCGCAACCCUUAUCUUUAGUUACUAACAGGUUAUGCUGAGGACUCUAGAGAGACUGCCGUCGUAAGAUGUGAGGAAGGUGGGGAUGACGUCAAAUCAGCACGGCCCUUACGUCCGGGGCUACACACGUGUUACAAUGGGGGGUACAGAAGGCAGCUAGCGGGUGACCGUAUGCUAAUCCCAAAAUCCUCUCUCAGUUCGGAUCGAAGUCUGCAACCCGACUUCGUGAAGCUGGAUUCGCUAGUAAUCGCGCAUCAGCCACGGCGCGGUGAAUACGUUCCCGGGCCUUGUACACACCGCCCGUCAAGCCAUGGGAGCCGGGGGUACCUGAAGUACGUAACCGCAAGGAUCGUCCUAGGGUAAAACUGGUGACUGGGGCUAAGUCGUAACAAGGUAGCCGUACCGGAAGGUGCGGCUGGAACACCU
rnacentral:rRNA from 1 species